GGGGGGGGGGUCGGUGUGCGCGCGCGCGCUCGGCGGGAGGCGAGGUGGAGCGCGGGAAUGUGAAUUGCAACAAUCUUCUGGAAUCCAGCUAAGUUAUCAUGUGAAACACAUAGUGCACAAGAAAUAUUAUCGUCUGUCUAGCGGUAAUUGCUCCAGAAGAAAACUGCAGUGAAUACAGUAACAUCUACGCAAGGUGUAUAAAUUAAGAGAGCUUACAUCAUUGGAAUAUGAGUGGUUGAAAUACCUUGGAUGAGACAUCAGUUUUAAAAGCAAUAAAGUGAGGCCCAUUGUCGGAGGAAAGGCGUGAUGGAAUACCAAAUCGAGGAAGGAUGUCUCUUAAUAACACUUUGGCAGUAGUUGUGGCAUCAUUCUUCCUACAGGGAAAAGCCUCUAUCCAUCUGGAAAACAUAUCAAUGAUUACCAACACAUACUGAUAUCCGUCAGCCUUUGGUAGCUGAAUAAAAUCCGUUUGCGGGUGUUCGAAGGGACCUUGAGGGGGAGGAUGAGACGCCGGAGUCACAUCCUCAGCCUUACCUGGAUUAAAUAUCUGACAUGUAACACAAUGCUUUACAACCUGCUGGAGGAAGGGGGUUAAACCUGGGGCAAACCACGACUUCGUUAUCCAAUUAUACAUGGAUUGUGUUCCUUCAUGAGUAAAGUUAUGUAAUACAUGUGCCAUCCAUGGGAACAUUUUUCGUGGCAGAACCACCUUUAACUCAUUUGAGACCCAAAUUCCCAGAUCAUUAAUAAAACAAUCUAGACGGGCCCAUUUUUGUUUUUCCUCCAGAGGGGCCUCAUACUGAAUCCGAAAGAUCUCAUCCCGCAUUGUAUCAGUUACAGAGGGGUACUCGACAGCUUGUUGUAAUAUCAACAUUUUCGCUGGUUUAUUUAAAGCAGCAUGUCUAGCAGCUGCGUCUGCAUAAGCGUUACCUUUAGAAAUUGGGUCAGCUUGGUUUGUGUGGGCUGCACACUUUAUC